rnacentral:lncRNA from 1 species
ACUUUGGAAUUUUCAAAAUGGCUGCCGCUCACCUGGCAAUAAGGGGAAGGGUGCCAUCCGUUAUUGCUAGCAAUUACAAAUCUAGUUAUUAUGUCACCCGAUCGACAAUGUCGGGUGACAUAUUGUUUUCCUCUGUUUCUUUUUUAUUAUUAUGUCACCCGAUCGACAAUGUCGGGUGACAUAUUGCUAUUCCUCUGUUUCUUUUUCACUAUUAUUAUUAUUAUUAUUUUUCUUCCACCUAGUUUUGUCCGGCAGUUUUCUCAGAGCCAAAGGAACCAAUCUGAAUGAUGGUGCACUAUAACAAGGAACCCUGACUUUCCAGUUGCAGUGCAACUUUGGAACUAAAAAAAUGGCUGCCAUCACCAUGGAAACCGAAAAAUAAUGAAAAAUUCCAGUUUUUGGUUUUGGUGAAUUAUUUGGAGAAUGCUUUAACUUAGAAUCAUUAUAUUUUGAUACAAUGUAGGUGCCCAC